UACGGGGGGGGGCAAGCGUUGUUCGGAAUUACUGGGCGUAAAGGGUUUGUAGGUGGCUCGCUAAGUCACACGUGAAAUCCCUCAGCUUAACUCCGAAACUGCAUUUGAUACUGGCGUGCUUGAGGACUGGAGAGGAGACUGGAAUUCAUGGUGCAGCAGUGAAAUGCGUAGAGAUCAUGAGGAAGACCAGUGGCGAAGGCGGGUCUCUGGACAGUUCCGUGACACUGAGGCACGAAGGCCAGGGGAGCAAACGGG
rnacentral:rRNA from 1 species